AUGAGGAAUCUCAAGCUGUCGGAGGAGGAGAGGAAGGGAGUCAAGAUCCGGCUGGCCGGGAAGGACAAAGGGAAGGGAUCUCUCGUUCAGGCGGUGGGGCGGGUGGUGUCUGAGAAGCCGGCUCAUCCGGACGCAAUCUGCCUAUCCCUGGGGCGGAUCUGGUGUCCGAGAAAAGGGAUCGACUACAAGGAGGCCGGGGAUAAUAGGUUUGUGUUCACUUUCAAACAGGAGUCUGGGAAGCGGAAGGCGUUGGAGGACGGACCGUGGAUGUUUGACAAAGAUCUUGUGGUGGUGGAAGAGUAUGAUCGAAGCAAAAGAAUAGAGGACUAUGAAUUCAAUGAUAUUCCCAUAUGGGUGAGAAUCUUCAACCUUCCCCUCGGUAUGAUGAAUGAAGGCACAGGGGAGGAGAUAGGUAACAUCAUCGGAAGGUCCGUGGAGGUGGAUGCUGGAAAAGAUGGUAGGGCAAUUGGAAAGUUUUUGCGGGUGAAAAAUAGGAUGAAUAUAGAAAGGCCAAUCAUGCGGGGCUUCACCUUGGACGAUGAGGAUGAGAAGGAACCACAGAAGAGGAAGAAGAAAAUGAGCAUUGAUGGAAAGGAGGUGGAGGAGGAAGAAGGGCUUUGGUGCCGUUUUGAAUACGAAUUCUUGCCCGACUUUUGUUAUACUUGUGGCAUCAACGGUCAUGUGGCAAAGGAAUGCUCCAUCAGGCUAUCAAAAGGAGAGAACCCUCAGUUUGGCCCUUGGCUGAGAGCAGAUGUGGGGAAAAGAAGAUUCGUGAAUGAGGAGGAUCGAAGCUGGAGGGGUAAGGGAGGUAUUGAAGUAGGGUCUUGGCAAUAUGGUUAUAGCCGAUCGGGUGGAAGAACAGGGUGUUGGAAAUAUGCCCUAGAGGCAAUAAUAAAUUAG
rnacentral:rRNA from 1 species